UGUAUCUGAAGCCUGACGAGGAUGAGAACCUCCGGGGGCAAGAGGUUCGACCCGAGCGAAGCGAGAGAACGUUGCGUCAGCAACGGCCUGCAGGGCGAGCCACGCAGUGGCGAGUCAUCCUCUAUCACCGACCA
rnacentral:sRNA from 1 species